rnacentral:rRNA from 1 species
ACAGCGGAGAGUUUGAUCCUGGCUCAGGAUGAACGCUAGCUGCAGGCUUAACACAUGCAAGUCGAACGGCAGCGGGGGGAGGAGCUUGCUCCUCCCUGCCGGCGAGUGGCGCACGGGUGAGUAACACGUAUGCAACCUACCCCUGUCAGGGGGACAACCUUCCGAAAGGGAGGCUAAUCCCGCGUAUAUCCCCCGGGGGCAUCCCCGGGGGAGGAAAGGAUAACCGGACAGGGAUGGG